rnacentral:lncRNA from 1 species
GUUAUUUUGAAGAAGUUUGGGGCACGGAAGCCCUAGUUUCUUUUCUAUCCUUGAAACUUCCUGUAGGAAUUGUUCUCUGCAUUUCAGUUGAUGAGCUCAGUUCAUGAAAAUCUAGGGGGCUUGCUGUUGGAUCCUCGCCCUUCCACGUUUGCUGCUGUUGAUAAACUCAGGAAACUUCCACUGUCAGAGUGGAGUCAGAGGAGACAGAGUGACCCUGGGCUUCCUGUGCAGAGAGGCUUCCUGCAUGGUUGAGGUCUGACCACCCGGUAACAGUAGUGCUGCUCGUCCAUGUGGGCCGACAGUGGAAGAGAAGCCAUGUGUAGUUGGAUGGAGACACCCCAGAUCUUUCUGUGAAGUGAAGGAGUUGAACUUGCUCCUCCCUGGGAUGACUUCUUUUCAUGCUUUAGUCUCCCCUAAACUGUCAUUCUGUCAUUUGGUGGGCAGUCCCUGCCUCAUUUGGCAUGGGUUUUGCAGGUCUCCAGGCUAUGGUUUGCUGAGCUCAUUUGAUGUGACAGGCUUGAUGAGUCUUAUGUAGUUCAAGUAAGGUGAGCACAGGAUGUUGUUAAAACUCUUUAAGUUCUGGUACUCUGUCUCUG